CUGCAGGUCACUGCGUUGUGAGUAAAACGUUCCAGCUGAAAGAUGGAGGAAGUGCUACAUUUCCCCGACCAUGCAUCAGGCUGACAUGCAAUGUCACAGCAAAACAACUGACUGAAGAAUACUGCAAGCCACCUGAUGAAUACAACGACUCUGUCUUUACAUUUCAACCGAAUGGAGGACCAUUUCCUUACUGCUGCCCUAUGGCUACUUCUAAGCGAAAGUCCUAGACAACAAUAAAGCUUUUUU